CAAUAGCGUAUAUUAAAGUUGUUGCAGUUAAAAAGCUCGUAGUUGGAUUUCUGGUCGGAAGCUCCUGUCCUCUGAUGAGCGUACAAGUGCGUCCUACCAUCCUUCUGUUAACCUUUAAGGCUUUCGCGGCUUUCUAGGGGCUCAGAUAUUUUACCUUGAGAAAAUUAGAGUGUUUCAGGCAGGCUAGCGCCGGAAUACAUUAGCAUGGAAUAAUGGAAUAGGACUUUUGCCUCUUCUGUUGGUCAUGAGGCUCGAGUAAUGAUUAAUAGGGAUAGUUGGGGGUAUUCAUAUUCAAUUGUCAGAGGUGAAAUUCUCGGAUUUGUUAAAGACUAACUUAUGCGAAAGCAUUUGCCAAGGAUGUUUUCAUUAA
rnacentral:rRNA from 1 species